rnacentral:rRNA from 1 species
GAUGAACGCUGGCGGCGUGCUUAACACAUGCAAGUCGAACGGGAAACCUUUUAUUGAAGCUUCGGCAGAUUUAGCUGGUUUCUAGUGGCGGACGGGUGAGUAACGCGUGGGUAACCUGCCCUAUACAGGGGGAUAACAACCAGAAAUGGUUGCUAAUACCGCAUAAGCGCACAGGGCCGCAUGGUCCGGUGUGAAAAACUCCGGUGGUAUAGGAUGGACCCGCGUUGGAUUAGCCAGUUGGCAGGGUAACGGCCUACCAAAGCGACGAUCCAUAGCCGGCCUGAGAGGGUGAACGGCCACAUUGGGACUGAGACACGGCCCAGACUCCUACGGGAGGCAGCAGUGGGGAAUAUGGCACAAUGGGGGAAACCCUGAUGCAGCGACGCCGCGUGAAGGAAGAAGUAUCUCGGUAUGUAAACUUCUAUCAGCAGGGAAGAUAGUGACGGUACCUGACUAAGAAGCCCCGGCUAACUACGG